UACGGAGGGGACUAGCGUUGUUCGGAAUUACUGGGCGUAAAGCGCGUGUAGGCGGAUUUGUUAGUCAGGGGUGAAAUCCCGAGGCUCAACCUCGGAACUGCCUUUGAUACUGCAAAUCUCGAGUCCGGAAGAGGUGAGUGGAAUUCCUAGUGUAGAGGUGAAAUUCGUAGAUAUUAGGAAGAACACCAGUGGCGAAGGCGGCUCACUGGUCCGGUACUGACGCUGAGGUGCGAAAGCGUGGGGAGCAAACAGG
rnacentral:rRNA from 1 species